rnacentral:rRNA from 1 species
CCUACGGGGGGCAGCAGUGGGGAAUAUUGCACAAUGGGCGCAAGCCUGAUGCAGCCAUGCCGCGUGUGUGAAGAAGGCCUUCGGGUUGUAAAGCACUUUCAGCGGGGAGGAAGGCGGUGAGGUUAAUAACCUCAUCGAUUGACGUUACCCGCAGAAGAAGCACCGGCUAACUCCGUGCCAGCAGCCGCGGUAGUACGGAGGGUGCAAGCGUUAAUCGGAAUUACUGGGCGUAAAGCGCACGCAGGCGGUCUGUCAAGUCGGAUGUGAAAUCCCCGGGCUCAACCUGGGAACUGCAUUCGAAACUGGCAGGCUAGAGUCUUGUAGAGGGGGGUAGAAUUCCAGGUGUAGCGGUGAAAUGCGUAGAGAUCUGGAGGAAUACCGGUGGCGAAGGCGGCCCCCUGGACAAAGACUGACGCUCAGGUGCGAAAGCGUGGGGAGCAAACAGGAUUAGAUACCCUUGUAGUC